rnacentral:rRNA from 1 species
UACGAAGGGGGCUAGCGUUACUCGGAUUGACUGGGCGUAAAGGGCGCGUAGGCGGAUGGUACAGUCAGACGUGAAAUUCCUGGGCUCAACCUGGGGGCUGCGUUUGAUACGUGCUGUCUGGAGUUCGGAAGAGGGUCGUGGAAUUCCCAGUGUAGAGGUGAAAUUCGUAGAUAUUCGGCGGAACACCAGUGGCGAAGGCGACUCACUGGCCCGAUACUGACGCUGAGGCGCGAAAGCGUGGGGAGCAAACAGG